rnacentral:rRNA from 1 species
UACGUAGGGGGCAAGCGUUGUCCGGAAUCAUUGGGCGUAAAGCGCGUGUAGGCGGCUUCGUAAGUCCGUUGUGAAAGUCCAGGGCUCAACCCUGGAAUGCCGAUGGAUACUGCGGAGCUAGAGUCCGGAAGAGGCGAGUGGAAUUCCUGGUGUAGCGGUGAAAUGCGCAGAUAUCAGGAGGAACACCAACGGCGAAGGCAGCACUCUGGGCCGGUACUGACGCUGAGGAGCGAAAGCGUGGGGAGCGAACAGG